rnacentral:rRNA from 1 species
GUUCCCGUAGGAUCACCGAAGUAAAGCAACGUCGAGCCUGGUCAGUACCUAGAUGGGUGACCGCUUGGGAAUACUAGGUGCUGUAUG